GCGACAAGCACCGCCGCUUCUCAACUGCAAGGCCGCCGGCACCUCAAGCUCAUCAACGUCGAUUUGACAAUCCAAAGGUUCGAAUCAAGGUGAUCGCUAAAUCGAGGAAAGGGAUUAUUAUCGGAAAUUGAGGAAUUACGCUCAAGUCAAUAAGGGGAUAAUUCUGCAGGUGCUGAUUAGUGGUGGUUGAGUGACGACUACAGAGGCUCGAAGUCGUUCGGAUCCUACUUGUGGUGAUGAACGCUGAUAAGGGCCGAGGACAGGGCCGAGGACGGGCGAGAGGACGUGGUCGAGGUAGGACCGCGGGCCGAGUCCGCAACGUGGAGAACCUUUAUGAGGAGGCUGCUCCACAGGUAGAGCGGGUAGGCCGAGGUCGAGGUAGGGCCACAGGUCGAGUCCGCAACGUGGAGAACCUCUAUGAGGAGGCUGCUCCGCAGGAGGAGCAGGAUGAGCCAGCUCCUGCGGUUAGAGAUGACGGUCGAGUGUUGAAGCUGAUCAAGGAUAUUAGUGCACUGUCAGCUCCGACAUUUCAUGGGGGACUAGAUCACAUGGUAGCUGACCAUUGGAUCGAGGGUAUGGAGACUUAUUUUGAGAUGAUAGAGUGCACAGAGAUUGAGAAGAGAAAGAUAGCUACAU